CCUUGGUUCAGAGCUUCCAUUUCAAGCAAAGAUUUGGAAUUUGCGAAGGGAAAUUGUAAAAGCACACGCAAUAAGUACUACCAUUGCAGACAAAGCAAUGGAAAAACUCUCGGCCACCAAGAAGCGAGCCGCCUACUACCGCUCCCUUUUGGGCAAGCGGAAGGGCGAGGAGUCGCGUGCAGCUCAGACACCCAAGGGCGGUUCCUCCAAACCCUCUAUUUCUUCUUAGCCGGACCCGAAGCUUCUGAAGCAGACGGCCGGCGAUGUGACGACUCCUGGCAAGUCCAGGAAACAUGUGGCGGCCCAGAGGCCUGGAAGAACCCAUCCUCCUAAGUCCCCAGCCGCCCCUGGGAGUAGCCGACCCCAAAAGGAGAAGGAGGCAGCCGAAGAUGCCCCUCAGAGGCCGGAUUUUCAACAGCUGGCCAAGACUAUGCUGAGAGCCAUCUCCCUUGAGGACAAGAAGUCGUUUAGAGGAGUCGACACCGUCAAUCUUGAUGCCAUCCUCGCUCUUCUCGCUAAGAUAUUUUAACUUGUAAUUUUUACUUUUUUGUGCAACUAUUUUUGCCGCCUGUACUAAUGUUUUGCUCUUUGCCGAAUGCAGUCUAUGCUGCGAGUGCAUGGACUUAGAAAGCCCAUCCACGAGAAGACCAAAGAGGCGGCCGCCAAUCUGCAGGUCAAGGCCGAUUUGGACGCGGCGAAGAGGCGGAUCUCCAAGCUGGAGAAGGUGCUUAAGGACCUCAAGGCUACGCUUGAGCCUCUUAAAGAGGCGGACUCUGAAGCAACCGGACUCUGCACCCCGGUGGACAAACUCAAGGCCAGGCUGCAAAACAAGGAGGUCCAACUCGCCAAGAAGUAUACUUCAAGGGCUGAGGAGGAGAAAGAGGCCCUGGUCAAACAGAUGAUGGACGACUACACGCCAUCAUAAAGAUGACUUGGGAGGCUCUUUUCCCGAAUGCUGGCUAUGAAGGCUGGAAGAAUCAAUUCGCCGCCUCCUCUCAAGAGUACAAUGUAACUCCUGAAUCAAGUUCAAGAGGAAAAGGAGGAGGAGGAAGAGUCUGAUCCGGCCAAGGGGUCUGACCAGGAAGAGGAUUCGGAAGCUGAAAAGGAAUAGGAGCCGGCUGGGAAAAAGAAGGAUGUAGCUGCUGACACUGAGAAGCCCCCUCUUGAAGCUUAAGCCUUGAAUUGUUUUUCUACGGCCGAAUGGCCAUGUAUUACUUUCCUCGGCCUGCGUACCAUCCAACGAUCACAAUACAAUUCGAGUCAAACAAAACAAUUUCAUUUGAAAUCAAGAACCUGCGUUUUUUCUCACUCCUCCUUCCUCUUUCACGCGCAAUUUUCUCUCUCCUCAUUCAGUUCAUCCGUUUUUCUACUCUCUUUCUCUCUGAUUUUUCAUCAUAAUUUCUUUAAUCUUCAUCAAUUCUUCGUCAAGGUGAGUUUAUUGUUUAUAUUUUGCUGUUUUUCAAUUAAUUUUAGGUUACAUUCAUCGUUUAUUUUCGUUUUAGUUUUCGUUUAAUUUUUGUUGAUUUCAGCUCACAUUGUUUAUUACUUUGUGUCGAUUAUGUUUUAGUUUGUUUUUUUUUUGUUGAUUUUAGUUUUAUUUUCGUUUUUUUGAGUAGUUAUCAAGUUGAUUUUAG